CCUACGGGGAGCAAAAGACGCCACGCGUGGCGUUCCGAGAGUACCCGAAGAAAAAGCAUCGGCUAACUCCGUGCCAGCAGCCGCGGUAAUACGGAGGAUGCGUGCGUUAUCCGGAUUCAUUGGGUUUAAAGGGUGCGCUGGCGGAAGAUCAAGUCAGCGGUAAAAUUGAGAGGCUCAACCUCUUCGAGCCGUUGAAACUGGUUUUCUUGAGUGAGUGAGAAGUAUGCGGAAUGCGUGGUGUAGCGGUGAAAUGCAUAGAUAUCACGCAGAACUCCGAUUGCGAAGGCAGCAUACCGGAGCUCAACUGACGCUCAUGCACGAAAGUGUGGGUAUCGAACAGGAUUAGAUACCCUUGUAGUC
rnacentral:rRNA from 1 species